rnacentral:tRNA from 2 species
GGAGUUGUGGCUCAGUGGUAGAGCACUUAUAGAGCAUGUGUAAGGCCCUGGGUUCAAUUCUCAGCAACUCAU